rnacentral:lncRNA from 10 species
CUGAGGUCAGGAGUUCAAGAUCAGCCUUACCAACAUGGAGAAACCCCGUCUCUACUAAUGAUACAAAAUUAGCUGGGCGUGAUGGCAUGCGCCUGUAAUCCCAGCUACUCGGGAGACUGAGGCAGGAGAAUCACUUGAACCUGGAAGGCAGAGGUUGCGGUAAGCUGAGAUCACGCCAUUGCACUCCAGCCUGGGCAACAAGAGUGAAACUCCAUCUCAAAACAAAACAAAAAAGAGAACAUUAUCAGGAUAACUGGCAAAAUUUCAGGGAUGUUGCUGGAAGGAAAGACCACAUUGAGCUGAACUAUUGACCUUCUGAGAGAUUUGCACUUCCUCAAAGCAACACAGCAGGAUUGAAACAAGCAGACAGGAUUACAAGCUGUUUACACCACAAUUUCAGUGCCACUCUUAAGCGGAAUUGACCUAGAAACAAGAUGUAUUCAUGGAGACUUCUACCUGCCAACUCCCCAGAAACUACCUCAUACCAAACUUUUCAUUAAGGAACAGGUAACUCAACACUCUUUUUCCACUACUGUUAUUGCUAUUGCUCGAAAUAUAACAAUGUUAGCACUAUAAAAUUAAAUUCUGCUUAUUUAGAUAAGGCAAAAGGUAAUGCCAUUUCAUUUUAAACAAUUCUGCUUUUAAUAGUACAUUUUAAAAUAGUUUCUUCCUUAAAAAGGAAAAUACAAUGUGUACAUUUAUACAAUCGCAAAUAGAAUUUUCUAUUACAGAAUUCAUAUCUCAAUUGUUGUCAAUGAAUGAGCACAGUCUAUAUAGCAUAUUUUAAGUUGGCAAAUAGAAUGUGCCAGAGAAAUAUAUUACACCUUAAGACUUUAAUUUCCCUCAACCUAUUUAUGACAGAUACAGCUAGCCAAUAAAAGAAAAGGAAUGAAAAUAUAGAAAAGAAUCCUAUGCCUUCUCACUGCCCAGUCCUCACACUCAUGAUUCUCCCGGGGAUGAGUUAUAAUUGCCUCCAGGGAGGGAGAAAAAAGAGACAUGAAAUCCGGCUCUGAUAGUGUAAGAGAUUGCUAAUCACCAAGACAACAGUAAUCACAGGACUAAACUACAAAAUCCAGGGACCACAAGCAAAUGAGUCAGCAGCAAUUAUUUAACAGCCUAAAAAUCAGCUUCAUGGGGGAAAAUGCAUUAGGGUCCCAUGAGCCUAAAGGGAAUGGGGCUUUCUUUAAAGCAUUUUUUCAAACACUUUAAAAAGAAAGGAGGCACUCCUUUGCAAAGUCUUUACUACUUUAGAAAUCAUGUUAAAGAUCCAGCACCAACGUUAUGUUUUGUAUCAAUUUUUUAUUCAGCAGUAUAUUAUUUUGUGAAAUUUCAAACUUUCAGAAUACCACAAUGAAUACCCGUAUAUCCUUUACCAAGAUUCGCCAAACGCAGCACAUUUACUCUCUCCCCUCUCCCCAUAUAUAUUUCUUUUCUUUAUUUCUCUUUUUUUCUUGUUUCUCCUUUUUCCUCUUCUUUCUUUCUUUUUCUGAACCUUCUGAGAAUUCACUGUAGAUAUUAUGAGACUUCAAUCCUAGUAUUUCAAUAUGUACCUUUAAGAAUAAAGACAUUAUCCUACAUUAUCCUCCCAUAUAUAUUUCAUUAUUUCUCCUUUUCUUCCUUUCUUUCUUUUCCUGAACCAUCUGAGAACUCAUUGUAGAUAUUAUGACAUUUCAAUCCUAAUAUUUCAAUAUGUACCUUUUUUUUUUUGAGACGGAGUUGCACUCUUGUUGCCUAGGCUGGAGUGCAGUGGCACGAAUUCAGCUCACCACAACUUCCUCCUCCCGGAUUCAAGUGAUUCUCCUGCCUCAGCCUCCCAAGUAGCUGGGACUACAGGCUUGC